rnacentral:rRNA from 1 species
CUACGGGAUGCAGCAGUGAGGAAUAUUGCACAAUGGGGGAAACCCUGAUGCAGCAACGCCGCGUGGAGGAUGACGCAUUUCGGUGUGUAAACUCCUUUUAUCAGAGAAGAAAAUGACGGUAUCUGAUGAAUAAGCUCCGGCUAACUCCGUACCAGCAGCCGCGGUAAUACGGAGGGAGCAAGCGUUAUUCGGAAUCACUGGGCGUAAAGGACGCGUAGGCGGGUUUUUAAGUCAGGUGUGAAAUCCUAUGGCUCAACCAUAGAACUGCACUUGAAACUGGGGACCUAGAGUAUGGAAGGGGCAGGUGGAAUUAGUGGUGUAGGGGUAAAAUCCGUAGAUAUCACUAGGAAUACCGAAAGCGAAGGCGACCUGCUGGGACAUUACUGACGCUGAGGCGUGAAAGCGUGGGGAGCAAACAGGAUUAGAUACCCGCGUAGUC